GCGCUCGAGUUUCGGAGGGACAUUGGAACGCGCAGCUGUCCGUCACGCCCUCAUCUGCAUAUGCGGGUGCCCGCCCCUCCCCUGCUCCGCCCGCUCCAGCCUCCAGGCCUCGGCCGGGGGAGGGGCAGGGAGCAGAGAGGAGGGGAGGGCCGAGGAGAGGGAGGCGAACCGGCGGGAGGGACGCGCAGGCUUUUGUGGCGCAGCCGCUUCUCGCAGCUCCGGCCCCAGCCGGCCGCCCGCGGCCCUGCAGUGUCUCCAGGCCGGGCUGCGCGCCUCGGCGCACGCCCCCUCCCACUCGCGCAUAUUCUCGGCCACUUCCAGGCACCCUGAUCCAGCCGCCUCCUCCACUUAGGCCAAGAUACCUUCUACACCCCCCCUCGGGCCCGUCCAGCCGCUGCUUCGCCCCGAUCGGCCCGCACCGUUUAGGCAAGAGACCGCCCGCAGUCGGGCCGGGCCGAUUCUACUUGGGGAACUCACGGCGAGUGCACCUCUGGCCACCUCUGAAGAGGCGCCCCAGGUGACUGCACACCAGACUGCAGUGUCCAGCCCAGAGCCGCUGGGAGCUGGAGGGCAGGAUGUGGGAACCUGCAAUCCCAGUCCUCCCUGGGGUGGCGUGUGCGGCUCUCACUCCCACCUCCGUGGUCUGCACUGCCUCAAGGCCGAGGCGUCUGUGUGGCUUCGCUGCUGGCCGUCUGCCCUACGCUCCUGCGCCACCAUCACCGCCUAGGUUUGGACAUGCCCGGAGGGCACAGAGGUGAGCCUUCUGUCCUAAGUCCGCGGAGACGCCGGGCCCGGCGUGUUGGGACCUCCACGCUGGGAAUUCGCGGGGCACGCGCCGCCAAUACUUCGCCCUGAAAACGCCGCACCCCAAAAGAGUUUUAUUUUGUUUUGUUUUAAAAGUUGAUGCCUUCUUUGGAAUUUGGGGGAGUCGAUACUGGAUGAACCGCCUCUGGCAUAAGCCGAACCUCACUGCCAUCUCAGGAAGGGACAAAUGGGAGCCAGCUGGUGGCACAGCGCAGUUGGCGACAAGUGAUCAAGGCAUUUUGGACACGUCGGUGUGGAUGUCCACGUUUCAGCGAGCCAGUUUUCCAUGCGAGGCCAAGCGCUAAGAAGGGCCGGAUACGAAGCCCCGGGUUUGAGGGUCUUCGGGGGAACGCUAAGGGCUUCCUAGGCCCAAGCCCUGGCCAGACCCUGUGGAAUCCUGGGGCUCUGCGGGAGGCAGAGGAGGCGGCGACGUGGUUCCGGAGUCGCGCGGAGGGCGGCGAGGGGGCGCUGUGGCCCGCGACUGCGCGCCUUGGCUCAGCCGCAGUGGCCCCGGCGCUGCCCCAGCGCCACUGACGAGCAGCGUUAAGCCCCUGCUCCUGUCGCGACCUGCCUCUUCAGCACCGGUUUUAUUCGGGAAUUAAGGAAAACGAUACAAGGGCAUUUCAAUAAAACUUACGCCGCGUGUACCAUUUCUCAUUGUUUUAUUACUUUGGUUUUCUAUAGAGUUUUCAAGAGUUUAUGGAUAAAUAGCUACCAUUUUGGUGUGUGUAAUUUUGAGGUGCAAUUUAAGAUUAACACCCACAUAUUACAUGUGUUCUGUUUAAUGAAGAAACAUUUAAAAUGCAAAUGGUUUCAAUGUGUCAAUGUAUUUACUCAUAACCCAUGAUCCUCUGCUCCAGGAUUUCCUGGCGUGUGCCUGGAGGGAGAGACAACACGAAACAAAAAAAGAGGGAGAAGUAUAGCUUUACAAUUUCCUCUUUCUCUUUCUUCUCUUCUCUCUCUCCUCCUUCUACCCCUCCUUGGUCUUCUUCUUUUUCUUUUUUGAAAUCUGAAAUAACGUCGUUAUAAACCGUGCAAAAUCUAAGUUCAGAUGCAACGUGGUUUUGUAUCCAGCUUCAAUUACAGCCCAAGCCUCCUGUGAGGAUGUUCACUUGGAUUUCGGAUGCAUCGGUAUUCCUAGGUUUCCAAAUGCGCGCUCAUAGCUGAAGCGCUUCCCUGGCAAGGGAGCAAGGGGCAGAAAUGCUGGGAGGUGAAAGAUCCCCAGCGCCCCUGUCCCGAGGGCCAGCGGGGUCCCCUCCUGAAGAGAUCUAAAUGGCCUGAGAGGCCUGGAUGGUCCCUGGGCAGCGCUGGAAGGGACUCCAGGCAGCCCCCAGGGUGCUGGGAUGCCUGGAUUCCAGGGCCAAAGGCAGGAGAAAUUGCUUUUGUUUUGUUUUAGUUUGUUUCACCUCCUAAGCGCCCAUAUUCAGUUAAACUGCUUUCCUCACGGAGCUACCUUCUCUCCAGAGUACUGCGAGUUUCUCCGUUGCUAACCUGUCCCUCCCGGAUUCUUUUAGCGGGCAGCCAAAGUCCCAGUUCUCGGGCAGAUGCCCCGCCUCCGACGCGCUUCCUGAAGUUUCUCUGCUGCGCGGGGUCUGGAGAAGCCUCCUUUCCCCAUUUCUUAGCGUCCGGCAGACUUGGUCCCUGCCCCAGUCUCCUCGCUGUUCUCACGCGUCCCCUCGUCCUCCGCUGUCCUGCCGUCCCCACCUCCCUCAACUCUGCAGCUGCCUUUCGGUUCCCGCACGACUCACCCGUCUGCGGGCCGGGGACCCAAGCCCCUCGUGGCGAGGCAUCCGCGAGGCUCGAACUGAAGUCCCCCUGGCCUCGCUGGCCGCUGGCUGCUGUGACGCCAGGUCUUUGGCUGCGCUCGCGCCGCGCGCCCCGGAAGCGGCUCGGGCCGGGUGGGAUCCCAGCGCCCGCAGCCUGGAACGCCAAUAAAGGCAGGCGAAGGGUCACUUCUUGGACAUGGCAGACCCGAGUUCCUCCAAGGCAUCAGAAUUCAAGGAGGCGCGUUUCGGGAGCAGCGAAGGCCCGGCUUUAGUUCUUCAUGGGGCCUUGUUUGAAGGCUAAGCGGCUGGGACAGACGCCUCCGCCAGGCUCACCUUGACACUCAGAGCAGGCCCGCAGCCGGCGCUUGCAGACGCGGGUACCCGGCACGCACCGCCAUUCAGGAGGCGAGCACGGCUCGCCAAAGCUGCCCUGGGCAAGGGGAGUUGUCAAGAUUUUGUUUUGUUUUCUUAAAGUGUUUCUUCCAGACAGGCUGCAGAAGAAGUUAGCUCCCAGUCCCCUCCAGCCGCUCCCGGCGGCGGCUGGGCAUUCCUCGGAGCAGACACCAGAGCGCACCUCCGUGCUGGCCGUGCUGGGCGCAGGCCGGGAGCGCCCCGAGGCUGAGGCGACAGCAGAGGUCAACUCAACUGGCCUGAGGAGAACUUUACAGUCAUACACGGUAGCUGGGUCCAUCCCAGAAGAAGCCGACAUCAAGGAGUCAACACGCUCCCUCUCAGGCCUGGUCCUCCUUGUUCCCCCAUUAUCCAUCCUCGAUGGCGCUCCUACACACACUGAAGUUUGCACCACGUUCUCCAGCUCCAUGUGUUUCCUGGCCAAUGCCAUCAUUUUAUUCUUCUUUUUGACUGAGUAAGACUCCACUGUGUGUGUACCACAUUUAUGUGAUGCAUUCAUCUAUCGACAGGCUUCUGGACUGAUUCCACCACUUGGUCAUUGUGAGUUGUGGUGCUGCAGACACUGGUUUGCAUGUCCCGUUAUGGUAUGUUGAUUUUAGGUCUGGUGGAUGAUACAGGGAGUAGGGUAGUUGGCUCAUAUGGUGGUUCCAUUCCUAAUUUUUUGAGGACUCUCCAUAUUGCUUUGCAGAGUGGUUGUGCUAAUUUACAGUCUCACCAACGGUGGAUAAGGGCACUUUCCCCCCACAUUCUUGCCAGUAAUCAUUAUCAUUUGUAUUCUUGAUAAUUACCACAGAAUUAGUGAUUUCUAAUGUCAACUCAAGCAAGUGUCCCUCAGGUUCAGAAACGAAUUCCUGGCUCCUGUGUGGGCCACUCAGAACCCUAUUUCUUGGAGGCAAUUUUUGUAGUCAUUUUGAGUUUCCUCGUUUUUCCAACUGCACUCUCACCACUGCCUUUGUUGACCUCCUCUGUUUCUGGCAUCCAUUACUCAUAUUGACUUGCCAUGUUGGAAGAGAAGGGCGGACUGGAGUGGCCUGGGGCUGCUGGAUCCACAGACCCAGCUCAUCAGUAGUCUUCCCCAGAAACCCUCCUGGAAGCUCCCGUGGAGUCCUUUCUAACUGGGCAUCUGAGAACCACAGCAGCAGGGCCCAUGGCUGUGGCUGGUGGUGGUGGCCCCUCCCCCCUUGAUUCACCUGGGGUGCUCUUUAUACUUCUGUGUUUUCUAAUUAUGCAAAAAGCUUUGGAAGCAGCAAGGCCCAUUUUCUGGAUUUGGCUGUUGAAGCCAGGGAGACUGGAGUUCUGCACGGGAGGUCUUGGAUUUGUGAGGGAACAUCUUCAUGAGGGAGACGGCGGCUGCCAGAUGCAUGGGGACACAGCAAGCAGGCACUGUCAAAGCAAGGGCAGUGCUCUGUGCCAUACUCCUAGCAUCCGCGUGAGAGCCUGCAGCCUCGCCACAGUGUGACGAGUGGAGACUGCUUGCAGGAGCAGGCAUGCACCUGCACAGGGGUGAGAAGGAGCAUCUCCUGUGGGGCUUGGUUUGUGGUGGUGGUUUGUUCUCUAGGACCUCACUGUGUUGCCUAGGCUGGUCGUGAGCUCUGGGCUCAAGAAGCCCCCCUCCUGCCUCAACCUCCCCUGUAGCUGGGAUCACAGGCACUUGUGCCGCCGCCUCUGGCUGGCUCUCGCUAUGGUGUUUUAACAGUCUAUUGAGGAAAUCAUUUGCACACACACACUCAUGGAUCACAAGCAUGCAGAGUGAGGAGAUCUGGUGUCCACCAUGCAGCUGAGCUUUAGAGCAAGUCUUCAUCACCAGACGUGUUCUCAGCUCCCUGCCGUGGGAUCCUGCGCCUCCUGGGGUGGCAUCUGCUGGACAUGGGCACCUGUCCUAGCCGUCAGGCAGAAGCAUCACAUAGUGGACUGUCUGGCUGACUUGAGAGACCCUGGUGACUUUGAGAUUGCCCCGUGCUGUUGCUGAGCUGGCUCCCCACUUUUUGCAGGUGGUGGCAAUCCACUGUGUAGCUGCCCUGUGUUAAAUAUAUCCUUUCACUGAUUGA